CUUAUUGAAUUGUCACAACUCUGUAAGGUAGGUACUAUUUUCAUGCCAAUUUUCACGGAUAAGAAAACUGAGGCCAAGAGAGAUUGUUUGCCCAAAGUUACGCCAUUAUGGACCCACAACUGAACCCAGACAGUCUGGCAUGCUUGACCGCUACAUUUCACCAUGCCAUCUCAUGGCUUGAAGAGAUUGGUAGAAAUUCCUGUGUCCAAAGACACAAAAAAGUAAUAUCUGCUUUUUUUUUUUUAACAUGAGCAAUGUGCCAAGCACCAAGCCAUGUGUUUUAUAUAUCUUGUCUCUCCAUCCCUACAACUACCUCAUGAAUUUUAUGGAUGAGGAAACUAAGCUAAGAAAACCUAAGUGGCUUGCCAAAGUCACACAGCUAGUAAGUAGCAGAGGUAGAAUUUGACCCCGAUCUUGAAUAUCUGACCCCAAAAGCUGUACUCUUUCCAUCUUCUCACUAUACCACACUGUCUCCUCCCUCUGCACACUACUAAGUUAUGGGGCCUCAGUUUCUCUAGAUCUAAAAUGGAGUAAUCAGUCUAGAAUCUAGAAUCUAGAAUUCAGAUCCUCCACCCACAUUGAAGGAGUGUGCUGAGAACAGUAGCAAUCAUAUCUAGGCUUGAUCAAGAGUUCAUGUUAACCAAAAAUUUGUAUUAUUUUUCAAAUACAUGGGCAACUUUCUGGAGAAUGUGAUAAAGGAAACAUUUUACAAGUCUUAGAAGGAGCAGAGGGUCAGUGAAGGUCAAACACUGGAAUUAAAAAGCAUCCUGGGAGAGAUGAAGAUAUGGAGGCUCAAAGAGUUUCAGUCACUUAACCUAACGUCACCCAGUUGGUAAGCAGCAGAAUGGACACUUUGUCUGUUUGGCGCCAAAGCCCAUGAUCCUGCAUUCCACGUGGGCCCUGGGGACGGUGCACUUCGGCAGGGCUGGGAUCAGCGGAGGUGAAUGAGGCAAGCAUGAGGAUUACACAUCUCUGCUCCCCUUGUAGUCCUGAGAGGCCAUGUGACUAGGUCUGACCAAUGGGUGGUGAACAGCGGUGAUCCUGUUAUUUCUGAGCUGAUGCAUUUGAUUGUGGGUCUAAAGGCCUCCACCAUUCUCUCCUGCACACUGACUGAGGAGGCAGCAUGUCCCAGAUGGUAAAGCUACAGGAUGGUGGCAUCUCUGUCUGCCUGGAUUGCUGAGUCACAACAUGGAGGGCAGCUGCUCUAGAAGUGACCCAGACCUGCAGUGGGUAUUGUAUGCAUGGGGAAUCAACUUUGGUUGUGUCAAGUCAUCAAUGUCUUGAUAUGGCUUGUUCCCAAACCAUUCCCUCACCUAGUCUGACUAAUACUAUUGAAAAGCUGAAAUUUUAAAAAAUCUGAUUAAAAGAAAAAACUAUCAAUACUGAAAGUAAAUUACAAAAAUGAGGAAAAAAAUUGUGCUGUUGUCAAAUGCAGAUUAUACAUGGUUUAAUUUUUGGCACGUAAGGUCUAGCGUUCAGAGGAGCAUCCAAGAAACUUUAUGAGCAUAACAUGCUGAUGGGAAUUUUAUCCAUUUGGCAGAAGUCAGAGCAAAAUUUGAUAAUAUUAUGGCAGAACAUUUAUGCAUGAUAUAAAUAUUGACACCAAAUAAUAUUGCACCUAUUUAGGGAAUGAAAUACAAAACCAAAUAAUUAAAAUUGUAGCAGAUGUAAUGAAUAAAAUCAGUGUGAAUAAGGUAAGAAGAGCUAAAUAUUACUCAUUAUUUUGGCUACAAAUCUUGAUGUUGUUGUAUUUGAGACACAACCCCUGAUGAAUACAGAAUAGAUAACAAUUUCUGUUAGACUUGUAGAUUCCAAAAAUGCAAAUGUUUCUAUAUGUAAACAUGUUUUGGGAUUUUUUUCCGGUGAAUGACACAACUAGAGAAGGAUUAUAAACAAUAUUAGCAGACCACUUACAAAAACAAUCAAGAAUAAAGUAAUUUGUGGGAACACAGAUAUCAUAAUACUGCAAAUAUGCAGAGAAAACACGACAGAUUGAAACAGAUAAUUUUUUUUUUAAAGAUUUUAUUUUUUUCCUUUUUC